rnacentral:miRNA from 1 species
GGUCUAGUGAUGGUAGCAAAUU